rnacentral:rRNA from 1 species
ACGGGUGAGGAAUACAUCGGAAUCUGCCUUGUUGUGGGGGAUAACGUAGGGAAACUUACGCUAAUACCGCAUAAGACCGAAAGGUGAAAGUGGGGGACCGCAAGGCCUCACGCGACAAGAUGAGCCGAUGUCGGAUUAGCUAGUUGGUGAGGUAAUGGCUCACCAAGGCGACGAUCCGUAGCUGGUCUGAGAGGAUGAUCAGCCACACUGGAACUGAGACACGGUCCAGACUCCUACGGGAGGCAGCAGUGGGGAAUAUUGGACAAUGGGCGCAAGCCUGAUCCAGCCAUGCCGCGUGGGUGAAGAAGGCCUUCGGGUUGUAAAGCCCUUUUGUUGGGGAAGAAAUCGUACGGGGUAAUAUCCCGUGCGGAUGACGGUACCCAAAGAAUAAGCACCGGCUAACUUCGUGCCAGCAGCCGCGGUAAUACGAAGGGUGCAAGCGUUACUCGGAAUUACUGGGCGUAAAGCGUGCGUAGGCGGUUCGUUAAGUCUGUCGUGAAAGCCCUGGGCUCAACCUGGGAAUUGCGAUGGAUACUGGCGAGCUAGAGUACGGUAGAGGAUGGUGGAAUUCCCGGUGUAGCGGU